rnacentral:rRNA from 1 species
AUUGUACGCUGGCGGCAUGCCUUACACAUGCAAGUCGAACGGUAACAGGUUAAGCUGACGAGUGGCGAACGGGUGAGUAAUGUAUCGGAACGUGCCCAGCCGUGGGGGAUAACUACUCGAAAGAGUGGCUAAUACCGCAUACGACCUGAGGGUGAAAGCGGGGGACCGUAAGGCCUCGCGCGAUUGGAGCGGCCGAUAUCAGAUUAGCUAGUUGGUGGGGUAAAAGCCCACCAAGGCGACGAGCUGUAGCUGGUCUGAGAGAACGACCAGCCACACUGGGACUGCGACCCGGCCCAGACUCCUACGGGAGGCAGCAGUGGGGAAUUUUGGACAAUGGACGCAAGUCUGAUCCAGCCAUGCCGCGUGCGGGAAGAAGGCCUUCGGGUUGUAAACCGCUUUUGUCAGGGAAGAAACGAGUUUCUCUAAUACAGAGACUUAAUGACGGUACCUGAAGAAUAAGCACCGGCUAACUACGUGCCAGCCGCCGCAGUAACAC